rnacentral:lncRNA from 1 species
GAGAGUUAAGUUUUAUUUGGGACAAAAUGAAGACUUAAGCCUGGAAGGCAGCACCACAAGAAACCACUUCUAGGAGGGGAGGGUGUUAGCUAAGAUAUACAGGAGUUUUGUAACAGAGGGCAGGUAGUCAGAACAAAAGAGUACUGUUAGUCAAAGAAAACUAGAUAUCUCAAGUUCAAAAAUGUAGUGCUUUUCUGUGUAUGGGAGUAUUGCAAGGGGCUGGGCUCACUGAAAUCCUUCCUUUGAGAAGCAUCUCAGCUCUCUGGAGCAAGUACCGUGUGCUUUUCACAUCCUGAGGGCUCACCAUCACGAAUGACUGCAGUCCGAUGGCUGCGAGAUGGCAGGUAUUCUUUGUUCCUUCCUGAGUUCCCUCAGGGCUCACCAGCUCAGAGGUGGCUGCAAUUGCUGAAGACUGUGACAUCUUUAUUUACUGCUAUAGGAGGCAAUAUUGUAUUUCUCACCAGCAAUUUGUGUUGUCAGGAGUUUUUGUUUUAGCAACUCUUAUCAGUGUGCAGUGAUUUAAUUGUUUUUCAAAUUAACAGAAUUUUAAAUGUAUAUUAUAUAAUGAGUGUAAUUAAAACAAAAUACCAGUGCAUAAAAGGAAGAUAUGUAAAAAUAUGCAAGCAAUUGAAGAAGCUAUAAAAAGAACACCAAAAUUAACUUUUUUUAAUUUAGAAAGCAUAGACAAAAUGAGAAUAGUUUGCAACAGCCCCAGAUUUCUCCCUGAAGGGAACAGCAAGCAGGGUAGUGUAAGGGGAAAUCAUAUACAAAUUUAAACAACAGCUUUACACUGGGAACUAUGUCGGGUCACUUAUGAUGAAUUAUGAUAAUGUGAGAAAAAAGAAUUUAUGCAUGUAUGUGUAACUGGGUCACCAUGCCGUACAGUAGAAAAUUGACAGAACACUGUAAACAAGCUAUAAUGGAAAAAAAAUUAAAAUGACUAUAUAUAUAAAAAAAUAAUAAAAUAACAGCUUUAAUUCUCCCUGUUGAAAACAAGGGAAGAGACUUAGCCUCCCCUUCCUUUUCUUAGAGCAUUUUCUUUAGGAAAGUUGCAAAUUUUUUUUCUCUCUCUCUUUAAAAUGAAUGUAAAUCUUUUUAAACUUUAAAUGGACCCCUUGAAUACUGUAAACCAGCUAUAAUGGAAAAAAAGUAAAAAUCAUUAAAAUAAAUAAAUAAGUAAAUAAAUGGACCUCCUGACAGAUUUACGACCCAGGAAUGUCUUUCUUAAGGACCUGGGAGCCAUCCCAUUGAAAUGCAAUCAUCAAGGAAGAUGGUGCCCUAACACCCCCUUUUUGUGGGAAGGUAGAAGCCUUCAGCAGAUUCCUUGGGCUCCUCACUCCAAACUGCAAAAUACCUUCAGCCACAAAGAUAUGAGAAUUUUGUUUUUCCUUUGGAUGAAGCAAAUUAGCAAACACAGAUGGCCACUCUAAUUAUCAGGUGAAUCUAGGAUAAAUUAUGCGUGGCAAAUGGUGCUUUCAGCUCCUCUAACUUCAGGGCUAGUUACUAUUUAUCUUGAGAACAUGUAUAUAGUGGGUUAUAUCUGCUUGGCUGCAUAAAUACCUAAGAUUCCUGUCUUUGCAGUCUCUUAGCAGAUUGCCACAUGCUUCACAUUUUGUUUUAAUGCUUACUCAGUGACAAAUUGUUUUCUUUCUCUUCUACCUUUGUGGAAAGUCUUCUGGGAUGAGAGGAGGUUUUGUUUUUAAUUAUAUAUCCCCCAACAAAAGCAAAUGCCAUGGACUGUGCACGCAGGUCAGAAAGAAGAAUUUUCCAGAUUCAGAGCAAGAUGAAGAAAAGACAAGUUUAUUGAGGCAAGGAACACUGUUAACACAGUGGGCUGACUUCCUGAUAAUGAAAGAGAGCCAAUCCUGGAGAUAAAGAAUAGUUUAAGAUGAGAGAUGUGGGAGUUUUCAUUGUGCUUAGCAGGUUAUGAAAGCAACUAGUAUCUAUGAGGAUGUGGAUUCAAUCCCUGGCCUCACUCAGUGGGUUAAGGAUCUGGCAUUGUCGUGAGCUGUGGUGUAGGUCACAGAUCAACACUGGAUCCUUAACCCACUGUUUUUUAUUACAGGGGGUCUCAGCCAAAAACUGUAAAGGGUAGAGGGAAAAUUCUUUUUCAACCCCAUGGAAUAAUCACAGAUGAGUUGUGUGACCCAGACACAAAGCAAGUUCUGAGGCCAGGGACCAAACCCAGGCCACAACAGUGACAAUGAUAGAUCCUUAAGUGCUAGGUCACCAGGGAGCGCCUAUGAUCAUUUUUAACGACUGCAUAAUGUUCCAUUAUAUUCUUUAGUCUAUUGCAACCAUGUUUGACCAUCCAUUAAGUUGCUUUUGGUUUUCUGCUAUUGCAAACAAUGUUGAGACAAACCUCUCUGUAUAUUUGUUUAAUUAUUUCCAUCAGACAAAAGUCCAAAGAACGGGGUUUCUGAGUCAAAUGGCAGACAUUUAAGACUUCUGAUGCCAAACUAUUCUCCAAAAGCAAAAUUCCCAACAACAGUUCAACAACAUUAAAGAACACUAGCUUCCCCACACCCUCACCAACACUGGCUGGAAGGUAUAGUUUCAAAGAUGAGUGCUGCGUACUGGUGCUCUUUGCCUCUUUCUCCACUGACAGCCUGGAAUACAGGUGCUUGAUAAAUCAAUCCAGGCUACAGUCUAGUAGACGCUCUGAUCCAAUAUGACUGUUCUGGGUAUCAAAGAACUCUCCUUCUGGUUCACUGCCCUGGAUGCUGGCAUCGUGUAGACCCUAUAAAGGCAGUAGCUCCAAGCACAUUACACAGAAGGCCCUCACUCUAUCAGACCACAGGCCAUCUGCUCCCAGGCCAUCCGUUCAGCCAGGAAGCUCCUGCUCCUGGUCUGUAUAGCCCUCGGAUUCCUGGUGACCCCAGGUAAACUGGAUGAGGGAGAAGACAGAUGGGACUGGGGGCCAGGAACACUAAAUCUUUGCUUGGCUGACAGACAAGCCAGGUUGAAAGCAGGCAGGGCUCAUCUCAAUGGGUUCCAACCUAAAGUUGGAAUCUCCCAACAUCCACCACUGGCCUCAAUACCCCAUACCCAGCCACCACCUUCUACCACCCUGUACAAAAACACAGUUCCUGGAGUUCCUGUUGUUGCUGUUGUAGCUCAGCAGGUUAAGAACCCGACUAGUAUCCCUGAGAUGUGGGUUCGAACCCUGGCCUCGCUCAGCGGGUUAAGGAUCUGUCACUGCUGUGAGCUGCAGCAUAGGUCACAGAUGGGGCUCAGAUUUGGCAUUGCUGUGGCUGUGGCAGAGGAUGGCAGCUGCAGCUCCAAUUCAACCCCUAGCCCGGGAACUUCCGCAUGCUGUGGGUACACCCUAAAAAGACCAAAAAAAAAAAAAAAAAAAAAAAAAAAAAA